rnacentral:rRNA from 1 species
AGCAGCCGCGGUAAUUCCAGCUCCAAUAGCGUAUAUUAAAGUUGUUGCAGUUAAAAAGCUCGUAGUUGAAUUUCGGGGUCAGUAGGUUGGUCAUGCCACUGGUAUGUACUGGUCUCACUGAUUCCUCCUUCCUGAUGAGCUGUAAUGCCAUUAAUUUGGUGUUGCAGGGAAUCUGGACUGUUACUUUGAAAAAAUUAGAGUGUUUAAAGCAGGCUAACGCUUGAAUACAUUAGCAUGGAAUAAUGAAAUAGGACGAUCGAACCUAUUUUGUUGGUUUCUAGGAUUGACGUAAUGAUUAAUAGGGAUAGUUGGGGGCAUUAGUAUUCAAUUGUCAGAGGUGAAAUUCUUGGAUUUAUUGAAGACUAACUACUGCGAAAGCAUUUGCCAAGGAUGUUUUCAUUAAUCAAGAACGAAAGUUAGGGGAUCGAAGACGAUCAGAUACCGUCGUAGUCUUAACCAUAAACUAUGCCGACUAGGGAUCGGAUGAUGUAAUUUUUAAUGACU